UAACUAGAGAUAAGAGUCUCACAGACUUUCCUGCCUUGGCUUGUCUUUGAACUGUGAUCCUCAGAUCUCAGCCUCCUAAGUAGCUAGGAUUACAGGUGUGAGCCACUGGCACUUGGCUAGAUCUGAUGACUUCUGACACAGCUUUACCCUUGAACACCUGCCCAGAGCACAGUCUUAAAGUAGAAAGUCAACUGUCUCCAACUCGGAGAAGCAAAGGUCCAGAGACAAACCAAUGUCACUGUGAUUGGAGACUGAGUGAGCCCUUCCCGGGGGAGAGAUUCCCUCAGAAUGAUCUCUG